rnacentral:tRNA from 1 species
AAAAUCGUAGACUAAAAAAGUUAACAAACUCAUAAUUUGUGGAUGGAGUUAUCCCGAUUUU